rnacentral:misc_RNA from 1 species
GUUUUUUAAUAAGUUUUUUUCAACUAAAUAAUUAAGUAAUUAAAGUGUGUUUGAUGUGAAAAUAAAAUUUGUAUAUGAUCGUGAUUACUUUUUGUGUUCUUUAUUAAACAACCAAACAAAAAAAAUAAUAAGAAAAAACUAUUUGAACGAGAUUUUAUUUUGCAACAAAUUCAACUGAAACAAACGUAUAAUUUUGCCGCAACAUUUUUAAACACAAACCAACUUUUUUUAUAACGAACGACAAAUGCUUUAAGCAUUUUGAAUAAAAAAAUACACAUUUAUUUUUGGAUUUUCCUCUAAGGACUUCAAUACACUAAGUGAAAAGUGCCUUUUAUUAUUAUAAAGGGAAGAAGAAGAAAAAAAUCGUCUGCCUUCGAAUUAUUUAUUAUAGUAUCAAGACGACCAAUACAACCACCACCACCAACACUACCACUCUUAUUUUUAUUAAUAUCUUCAUCAUCAUCAUCAUCAAAGCUACUUUUUCUAUACAACGAAUAUUUUCAAAGAGUAUUUAACGACGAACCAGAAGAACUAGAUAAAUUACUAGAAGAAGCAAAAAACCAAGACGACCAAAUACUAAAGAAGAGGAAUAAAAAUGUCAACAUUAUCGUUACGUAUACAAUUGGAGGGUGGACGUGUAACGAAAACCAUACAAUUUCAUCCCAAUACAACAAUAUUCGAUGCUUGCAAAAUAAUCAGAGAUAAAUUUGCUGAAGCUGUUCAGGGACAACCUAGUGAAUAUGGCCUUUUUAUGCCAGAUGAACAGACUCAACAAGGUGUUUGGAUGGAAAAUGGUCGCACCUUGAGCUAUUAUAUUUUACACAAUCAGGAUACACUGGAAUAUCGUCGUAAAUUGCGUACUCUUAGAGUUCGCAUGUUGGAUGGUGCUGUUAAAACCAUUUUAGUAGAUGAUUCACAACCAGUCUCCCAACUGAUGAUUGUAAUUUGCACAAAAAUCGGUAUUACCAAUCAUGACGAAUACGGUUUGGUACGCGAAGAUACCGAAUCGCAAAAUGAAAAUUUGCCCGAUAAUAAAUUUGGAACCUUGACUUUGAGACGAAAAAUUAUGGAAAAGGAUCGUGAUACCAAAAUGGAAAGUUUGCGUAAAAAAUUAAAAACCGAUGAUGAAAUAAACUGGGUUGAUGUGGGUAAAACAUUACGCGAACAGGGUAUUGACGAAUCCGAAACUGUACUGCUGCGUCGUCGAUUUUUCUUUUCCGAUCAAAAUAUUGAUUCACGUGAUCCCGUACAACUGAAUUUAUUAUAUGUUCAAGCACGUGAUGCGAUUUUGGAUGGCACACAUCCGGUUACCCAAGAAAAAGCUUGUGAAUUUGCUGGCAUACAAACCCAUAUACAAUUUGGACCUCAUAAUGAAUCUAAACACAAGCCUGGAUUCUUAGAUUUAAAAGACUUUUUACCACAAUCGUAUGUGCGUGUUAAAGGUAUCGAAAAGAAAAUCUUUGCCGAACACAAAAAACAUGUUGAUCUCUCCGAAAUUGAUGCUAAGGUCUUGUACACCAAAACCGCCCGAGAACUGCCCACAUAUGGUGUAACCUUCUUUUUGGUCAAAGAAAAAAUGAAUGGUAAAAAUAAAUUAGUACCACGUCUAUUGGGCGUAACUAAAGAUUCCGUUUUACGUUUGGAUGAACGUACUAAGGAAAUUUUAGUUUCAUGGCCUUUGACCACCGUUAGACGUUGGGGUGCUUCACCCAAUACAUUUACACUUGAUUUUGGUGAUUAUGCCAAUCAGUAUUAUUCGGUGCAGACCACAGAAGCUGAACAAAUUGUUCAGUUGAUUGCUGGCUACAUAGAUAUUAUAUUGAAAAAGAAACAGACCAAGGAUCAUUUUGGUAUUGAGGGUGAUGAGGGAUCAACUAUGGUAGAAGAAUCUGUGGCACCUUCCAAAGCUACGUUUUUGCAACAUGAAACGAAUAAAAUCGGAAAGAUUAACACAGAAUCGUUAGCUCAUCCUGGUAUGAUGAGAGUUGAUGAUGGCGAAAAAUUGUAUACUCAAGGCGAAUUACAAACAGUGCAAUAUGGCGCAUUUGUUGGGCAAGUUAACCAUGCCCAUCAACCGCCCACGGCAAAAUUUCAAAGUUUCACAGAUCUAAGGAAGUACGUAUUAGUUCUGUGAAUCUGACGGAACCACAAAGAGCUCUAUUGAGCUACAUCUCAGCCGGUCAAGAAAUAUUAGUUCGUGCUGAUGAAGAGCUAAGAACUAAGGCUCCCAUCCAAGAUUUUGGUAAUGAUUUACGUUCCAUUGAAUGGCGA